UACAUUUAACGUGAGACAGCUCACUUUGAUGUUAUCUCAGCCAGUUUUUUAGUAGUUCUGGGUAGAGAUGGACAACAACUGGCCAUCUACCUUGAGAUGCUCCUUUUAUUUUUGAGUUAGGCUCUUACUUUGUCACCCAGGCUGGAGUGCAGAUCAUGGCUCACUGCAGCCUCGACCUCCUGGAUUCAGUGAUCCUCCUACCUCAGCCUGCCGAGUAGCUGGGACUACCGGUGCACACCCCAUACCCAGCUAAUUUUCAUUAUUUUGUUAGAGACAGUGUCUUGCUAUGUUAGCCAGGCUGGUUUCAAUGUCCUGACUUCAAGUGAUCUCCCCGCCUUGGCCUCCUGAGCAGCUGAAAGUACAGUUCAUGGCCCAGGCAGAGUCAUUCAUCACGGCAUCUCCUGAGCUAAACCAGCACCUGCUCUGCUCACUUCUUGACUGGCUGCUCAUCAUCAGCCCUCUGCAGAGAUUUCAUUUCCUCCGUGCCAGUAGCCAUCGACCCUCUGAUGAGGAUGCCCCCUCCAACAGGCACCGCCAGGCAGCCCUGCCUGGAGACCCAGAGGCACCGAGUCACAUUUGCUCUGCACACCUGGCUCUCGCUUGAUGUGGGCCUGUGUGCUACAGCCCGGAACACAAAAGAAGACACCCAUGCAAAUACCAUUAAAAGUUUAUUGUUUUAUUUCAAUAUUCAGGAACAGUGUACACUUUCCGUUCAGCCAUCGUCACAGCACGUGCUGUGUGGGUGCGGCCACGUAUGGAUCGCAGAGCCGACCUCAGCUCAGCGACGCAGAGUGCUUCUGCUGAAAAAUUUGGAGGUUUGUGUCUGGAGUUUUGUUCUUUGUAACUCUCUCAUCAUCGAGGCUAUAUAUUAAUAGACAUGGUAUUAAGCCCACACGAAACAUUCAGAAUUAGAAUUGGAUUAAGAAGACGCGUUUUGGCAUCACGCUGACUACUCCUCAUCUCCGUCCUCGGGGAGGGUGAUGCCAGCGUGGGACUCUUUGGAAGGCCUAUCAAUCACAGGUGCACGCCUGUGCCUACUCGCUACCACGCGUCUUCUGGGAGGAAGUGAAUGAGCCGGUUAUCUUCUCAGGGAGGGUUAGUGCUGGCCACUGUGCACUGCCGCUGCCAGCACGCCCGGUCACAGCCAGUGUCUAUGGGCGACUGGCGCGGCUGCGAGGCUGUCUAGAGGACUCCUACCCUUCUGCUCUGAGUGCGCAAGUCUUCCUGGACUCUCCGGCUGUGGGCUGUGGUUUGGAAACGAGGUUGUUCAUAGAGGCUGCUCUGGGGCCACCAUGCAGGGCAACGGUGACGUCCAGAGGCCACCUGCUUGACAUCUCCAUCACCAAAUCUCCAGGAAGACCCUGUUUCCUAUGUGAGGCCAUUGCCCAGCCCACGUUUGCCUCCUUUUCCUCCCUCUGCCACACGCGAAUUCAGCUAAUUGGGGUGUGUGGGCAGCCACGGCCUGGGGAGGUGGCCCCCUCUCUGUGCUGCCCCACGUUGGACUCUAACAGCUGCCCAGCCCGCAUGUCACAUACCAAAAGCUCCCACAUGUAGUAAGCCACUCCUUGACUGUCUAAUCCUGUUAGGAAAAAUGAAGUCUACUUUAGGAGGUGAGAGAAGGACAGGAAAAAAAAACAAAGGAAGCUUGGAUGUCAACAGUCCUCUCUGCCGCCCACGUCCUCUCUGUCUCUGCAGCUGUGUGCCUCCAUGGCAGUGACCAGCAAAAGCGCAAGGGUGCCGCAGCCACGGCGAAAAGAAAGUCCAAGGGUGGAGGGGUGAACGUGGAGGGACGUCUGUGCACCUGGCCCCCUGAAGACCCACGUGCGUCUGGGGGCACAUUGCGGGGGAAGGAACGUGAUCUUCACACAGAAAGGGACAGUUUUAACCGUUUUCUGUUUUCAUGUUCUCAUUUAACUGUUGGCCGGAAAUUGCCGGUAGGCUGCCGUGGCCUGACCCUACUACGUGCACAACUCCGCAGGCAUUAGGGGAGGGGUCAUCUGCUCUAAUUAGGUAACAGGGGCAAGUGGGAUUAAAGUUUUAAGGCAGUUAUAUUAAGAAGCUGAGGACAGGAUUCCGGAACCAGG
rnacentral:lncRNA from 1 species